AAUCUUCCACAAUGGGCGCAAGCCUGAUGGAGCAACACCGCGUGAGUGAAGAAGGGUUUCGGCUCGUAAAGCUCUGUUGUUAAAGAAGAACACGUAUGAGAGUAACUGUUCAUACGUUGACGGUAUUUAACCAGAAAGUCACGGCUAACUACGUGCCAGCAGCCGCGGUAAUACGUAGGUGGCAAGCGUUAUCCGGAUUUAUUGGGCGUAAAGAGAGUGCAGGCGGUUUUCUAAGUCUGAUGUGAAAGCCUUCGGCUUAACCGGAGAAGUGCAUCGGAAACUGGAUAACUUGAGUGCAGAAGAGGGUAGUGGAACUCCAUGUGUAGCGGUGGAAUGCGUAGAUAUAUGGAAGAACACCAGUGGCGAAGGCGGCUACCUGGUCUGCAACUGACGCUGAGACUCGAAAGCAUGGGUAGCGAACAGGAUUAGAUACCCUGGUAGUCCAUGCCGUAAACGAUGAGUGCUAGGUGUUGGAGGGUUUCCGCCCUUCAGUGCCGGAGCUAACGCAUUAAGCACUCCGCCUGGGGAGUACGACCGCAAGGUUGAAACUCAAAGGAAUUGACGGGGGCCCGCACAAGCGGUGGAGCAUGUGGUUUAAUUCGAAGCUACGCGAAGAACCUUACCAGGUCUUGACAUCUUGCGCCAACCCUAGAGAUAGGGCGUUUCCUUCGGGAACGCAAUGACAGGUGGUGCAUGGUCGUCGUCAGCUCGUGUCGUGAGAUGUUGGUUAAGUCCCGCAACGAGCGCAACCCUUGUUACUAGUUGCCAGCAUUAAGUUGGGCACUCUAGUGAGACUGCCGGUGACAAACCGGAGGAAGGUGGGGACGACGUCAGAUCAUCAUGCCCCUUAUGACCUGGGCUACACACGUGCUACAAUGGACGGUACAACGAGUCGCGAACUCGCGAGGGCAAGCAAAUCUCUUAAAA
rnacentral:rRNA from 1 species